rnacentral:rRNA from 1 species
UACGGAGGGGGCUAGCGUUGUUCGGAAUUACUGGGCGUAAAGCGCGCGUAGGCGGCUUUGUAAGUUAGAGGUGAAAGCCCGGAGCUCAACUCCGGAACUGCCUUUAAGACUGCAUCGCUAGAAUUGUGGAGAGGUGAGUGGAAUUCCGAGUGUAGAGGUGAAAUUCGUAGAUAUUCGGAAGAACACCAGGGGCGAAGGCGAUUCCCUGGACCCAUAUUGAGGUUGAGGUGCGAAAGCGUGGGAGCAAACAGG